UACGUAGGGUCCGAGCGUUGUCCGGAAUUAUUGGGCGUAAAGAGCUCGUAGGCGGUUUGUCGCGUCUGCUGUGAAAUCCCGAGGCUCAACCUCGGGCCUGCAGUGGGUACGGGGCAGACUGGAGUGCGGUAGGGGAGAAUGGAAUUCCUGGUGUAGCGGUGGAAUGCGCAGAUAUCAGGAGGAACACCAAUGGCGAAGGCAGCACUCUGGGACGUGACUGACGCUGAGACGCGAAAGCGUGGGGAGCAAACAGG
rnacentral:rRNA from 1 species